AGGCGCCCAGCAGCAGGCAUCGCCAUGGAAUGAGCAGGCCUCAGUGGGCGCUCAACCUCAGUGACUUCACUGCAUGGCGAGAAGCUAGGGUCUGCCAAGGACAACAGUCUGCACUGGGGCUGAGACUGCAGGCCUCUGCUCUGGCUGGCUUAGUCCUGGGUGGGAGAGUCUGGGGAAGAGCUGAGUGGGGGGGCUUCAGCUUCUGUCCGCCUCAACUCAGUGCGCAAUAUUGGCUCUUCGUGCAGCACUCUCGGGGCAUCUCUCAGGCUCUUCCUUGCUAACCAGCCAACCUGGAUGUCUUAGCCUCUUCGUGCCAGGGUAAGACCCUGUGGUUAGAGCUAGCUGUGUGACCUCUUGAUUCCAGCUGGGCAGGGAAAGCGGGUUCUGCCUGCCGGAGGUGCUUUUGGACACAAGUGUAGGUAACUUCAAACUGUGAGCAUACCCCUCCCCCAACCUCUCUUCAGACCCCUUUAUCUCUUCUCAAAACAUCUGACAUAGAAAUUUGGGGCUGGGGGGAGAAAAAAGCAUGUGUUGAAGACCUCUGGCACCCAGACCUGAUUAUAAAAGAAGCUAAGCAUAUCUGUGAAGGUGAGCACGUCUUACCAUGGGACCCCGGAGCCUGAGAUACCAGCUGCCAUCCACUGGAGACUUGCUGGGUGCCAGGCAGCGAGCUAAGGGCCUGCAUCUAGAUCUCAUAGGAGCUAGACAAAAGCAAGGUUUGCUUGUCCAACUCACAGAAGAAACCGUGGAAACCCACAUAGCUGAUGGAUGGACCCAGCAGCACAUAUAGGAAGCGGAUCUGGGCUUCUAAGCCACAUGGCCUGGUUGGGACCAGCAUUCUUAGCCCUUCACAGAGGAGGAUGCUUGGGGCAAGCCCUGGGCAGGAAAUGCUUUGGUGACGGCAGUGGAUCCCUGUAAUGAUGCAGCACAGCUCUGUCACUUGGUCCUGACUCUGGACGACACCGCCAUUGCUGUAUGAAAGGCAUCCACAGACAAGAUAUGAGUACCACGGUGAUUUACAGACACAGCUCCCCGGACACUGGAGGAAUUCUGAUUUCUCAGGAGCCCGCCUCAUCCUGCACCUUCCCCAGGGCUAGAAGGUCAGCUCCACUGCGGGUUACACUGGCUGUCCGAGCCAGCACAUGGUGGCGCAGGCCAGGUGGAGAAGGGGCUGUGCCCCGUGUUCAACGGCUCGCAUGAGCCUCGCUAGUGCUCAGUGCCCUCCUAGGCCAGGUGGAGGCCUUGCGCGUCUCAACCCAGUGUCCUGAAGUAUCACCCCAAAGCAAGACAUGCCUGCUCCCCCAUGGAGGGAACACAGUGCUUGUGUGUAGAGGGCGCUGACUUCCCUCUCAGUCUGGUGAGGGGGCGUCUCCGCUCACCCCAGCAGCACCAGAAGAGACAAAAUGAAGAGGGCGGCGGCAGCAUGGAAGCCCGCAGGAGCUGAGAGCCCAGCGUGCGGAGCACAGCAGAGCAGGCACCGGACUGGAUGAGGAGAGGCCCAGGCCCGAGCGGGGGUCUGGGGCUGCUUGGAACAAAGGCAGUGGCUGUUCCCUGGUGUGGGCACCUAGUCAGAGUCCCUGGGUGCUCAAUCAAGGACCCUUGCCAAGACCCCAAAACCUUCUGGAACGAGAGACAUUUAAAACUUCUCCCACAUGGAAUCCCUCUUACUCUCUCCACCCCAAGUUUUUUACUUGAUCCUAGGUAUACAGGUAUAUAAAAUAGGUACACAAA